GCGCUUUGCGUUUUUCCGGCGUUCUGCGUGCUGCCAUGGAGAUGGAAUGAGCAAAUCCAAACAUAGAGGGAUGGUGCCAGUCUCUGGCCUGUGGGCUCGUCCAAAGGCAGGGCGUGAUGCCCUUUGGGUGGAGGUAGGGGCCCUCGUGGUCUCUCACUUCCGGUCCCCAGCCAACAGGAACGGAAACUGCACAGCCAGUCGGCUUCCUGAGCUUCUUCCGGCGUUCUGUGUGCUGCCGUGGAAACCAUAUGGACGAAUCCAAACCUGGAGGGGCGUCGCCUCCGUAAGGCUGGUCGGCUUCUUCCGCGCGUUCCGCUUUGCUUCACUGCUUUCUCCCCCAUUCUUGGGCCUGUGGACCUGUCCUGAGGCAGAGGCCGAGAUGCGCGCAACCGCGGGAGCAGCCAAGUGGACUGGACUGUUUUCUUGACUUAGCUACCAGAGGACCUGGGUGCAGCGGGGAGAGAGAGUGCUUGUGUGUUUCGGCUUGGGAGAUGUGCUUUAUGGACGCCACCUCUUAACUCCCCAGAGCGGACCGCGUCUUCACCGCCCUGCAGCGCUUCCUAGGCUCCCAGCCGGCCUCGCGGACUGAUGCCUACGGACGUAGCGGGGCCGCGAAAGCCGCCGAUUCGCCCGCCGCGAGUUGCCUGGGGAGCGGGGGGGUGAGUGACUACGUAGCGCCCCUGAGUCUGUGAUAAUUGAGUCUGUGAAGUGCGGCGAGGAGGAGCACCUAUGGAGUGCUUAGUGUGGCGCGCGCCAUCGGUUACAUCUCGGGAAGGUUGAUUUGGCUGGCUGAUUGUGCUGAAAGUGGGCACCUGUGCGCUCUUAUCACCUGGUCGCUCUCAGCGUUCCUGGAAUGUAGGACCUGCCCCCGACUCUUAAAUGCCUCAUUUGCACCUGUAUGUGAUUUGCUCUGCCUUCUGGCUUCUUAGAUGCUUCUUAGGUGAACUUGUGAAUUAAGAGAGACUUCCUUAGGAGCACUAUAGGUUAA
rnacentral:lncRNA from 1 species